AUUGAACGCUGGCGGCAGGCUUAACACAUGCAAGUCGAGCGGGGGAAGGUAGCUUGCUACCGGACCUAGCGGCGGACGGGUGAGUAAUGCUUAGGAAUCUGCCUAUUAGUGGGGGACAACAUCUCGAAAGGGCUGCUAAUACCGCAUACGCCCUACGGGAGAAAGCAGGGGAUCUUCGGACCUUGAGCUAAAAGAUGAGGCUAAGUCGGAUUAGCGAGUUGGGGGGGGAAAGGACCACCAGGGCGGCGAUCUGUAGCGGGUCUGAGAGGAUGAUCCGCCACACUGGGACUGAGACACGGCCCAGACUCCUACGGGAGGCAGCAGUGGGGAAUAUUGGACAAUGGGGGGAACCCUGAUCCAGCCAUGCCGCGUGUGUGAAGAAGGCCUUAUGGUUGUAAAGCACUUUAAGCGAGGAGGAGGCUACUUUAGUUAAUACCUAGAGAUAGUGGACGUUACUCGCAGAAUAAGCACCGGCUAACUCUGUGCCAGCCGCCGCGGUAA
rnacentral:rRNA from 1 species